CAUCGAUAUCAAUAAUGAAGAGGAUGACAACAGAAUUGACA
rnacentral:sRNA from 13 species